UGUAUUGUAUUGAGUUCGGUUAUCUGAUAAGAAAUUUGAGCAGUGGUUCUCUAAGUGGUCACUGGGCUUCCUUGUGAGUUUUUGGCCUUUUUAUUUCAUAAUCCUCCCUCAAUUUCAGAAUUAUGUAUCUGCUCUAAGCUCAAAGCAUUCCCUGCUCAAUUGAUAAUCUUCCUCUGUGAACCUAAAAUGGAAGCUCAAAAAAAUCCCCAUUCCAAUAAUAUGUAUUUUAUGUUAACGAAUUUGUGUAGGUUAAGUGUUCGCUAAAAUGUUUUCUUCAAAUGUCAUCCUGUUUACGAACUAGGUUGCAUUUCUUAUAUUUGGAUGUCGUACUUUGGGAUUCAUAUCCACCGGUCUGUUACCCCUUUAAGUAUACCAAAUUUCUGGAUUAAGAAAUUUAUACAAGACUUGUCCAAUAGAAAUUGUUAGACAAUUGAUGAGGAUCAGUUUCUGAAACGGGUUUGAGUUCCUGCAAACUCUGUUUCUUAGACAUAGGUCCUUUGUGGGUUGUUAAAAUGUUCCGUGGGGAUGCAUUGGUGCUUAGUCAUUCGUAAGUGCUAUUUCAUUUUUGCAACUCUGUUUCUUAGACAUAGGUCCUUUGUGGGUUGUUAAAAUGUUCCGUGGGGAUGCAUUGGUGCUUAGUAAUUCGUAAGUGCUAUUUCAUUUUUGCUUAUGUUAUAAAGCAUUAGACCUGUGCUAUCAAUCGCUAUUAGGAGUUUUGAGGUGUUGAUUUCGUAUAUAAAUGCCGACGGUAGUUCCCCACAUAAGUAAUAUGAACAAUUUAUUUGAAAUUAUUCCACCAGUCCAACAUAUAUUGGCCUCGUUGUUACCGUCAUCACAAGGUAAAGUUGCGCCUGGAAAUCUGAUUGUUUGGGCUUGUAUAAUCGCAUGUGGUGGUACCCUCUCACAAGCAAAAGCCACAUGCAUCUUAGUUAUUUACCUAAUUUCAACUAAUUCGUGGUACUGGAUUCCAAAAUUUGUUCUUUUCCCUCUUGUUUAGUUCUCAUAUUGUUUAUAAUUAACAUUCUUUAUUGUCGAUAGUCAAUUGUUCGGUCUAUAUCCUACUAUUCAUUGCCAUGUAUUCAGUUGUUUCUGAAAAAUUAGGUCCUACUGUGGUCUCAUCGGAUUGAUUCCCUUAGUGGUUGCAACUCUUUAGUGGGGAAAAGCGAACAACGAAGUGGACAUUUAAGUGGGAUUUAUACAAAUGUGGAAUUGAGUUAAGUAUUGAGGAAGAUUAUAAGAACAUAAUGUUGAAUUACAAUUUUACUGUUAGUCUGCUAUCUGUUUCAGUUGGUAAUUAUUAUGUGGACAUUGCAGGACAGAAGCUGAUUCUUGCAAAAAAUGUUGUAGCAUUGUUUAAGAAGGAAAAAUAUAUUAAAGGCCUACAAAAUCUUUGUGCAGAGAACUUAAUGGAAUUUCUGGGUCAAGAGGUGGACCCUCAGCAUUGUAGUAAAAGUACAGUAACUUAGAAGGCACAUGUUUACAGCUUUGGAGUACCUAGUGGUUAAACUUGCAGCGUGGAGUGGACAAAAACCUUUCAACUUCCCAACAGAUCAUGCAAGAAACCUUCAAGUUGUUAGUUAGACUGGAAGGUGUAAAAGAGACAGAUACGGAUUAAAAGAAAACAAUGGAGCUGCACAUAUGGAUUGAUUACGUACAAGCUGCUGUUAUUUGAAGCUUAUUGUUUCAUGUUCUUUUUGUUUUUGCUUUUUUAAAAUAAUUGUAGUAAUUCUUUUUCUUUGGAUUUUUCAUUUAACUUUUUUGAUAUGAUAAAAAAAGUUAAGACAUCAUUUAUACAUUUAUUAAGUA